rnacentral:tRNA from 1 species
CGACGGCGGCGCGGUACGGGAGCACGCGGAGCCCGCGUCCGCGCGGAUCACCGCGGAGCUGCGCCGCCGGAUCAUCACCGGCGUGCUCGC